AGUGAACGCUGGCGGUAGGCCUAACACAUGCAAGUCGAACGGCAGCACAGUAAGAGCUUGCUCUUACGGGUGGCGAGUGGCGGACGGGUGAGGAAUACAUCGGAAUCUACUUUUUCGUGGGGGAUAACGUAGGGAAACUUACGCUAAUACCGCAUACGACCUACGGGUGAAAGCAGGGGAUCUUCGGACCUUGCGCGAUUGAAUGAGCCGAUGUCGGAUUAGCUAGUUGGCGGGGUAAAGGCCCACCAAGGCGACGAUCCGUAGCUGGUCUGAGAGGAUGAUCAGCCACACUGGAACUGAGACACGGUCCAGACUCCUACGGGAGGCAGCAGUGGGGAAUAUUGGACAAUGGGCGCAAGCCUGAUCCAGCCAUGCCGCGUGGGUGAAGAAGGCCUUCGGGUUGUAAAGCCCUUUUGUUGGGGAAGAAGAGCAGCAGGUUAAUACCCCGCUGUUCUGACGGUACCCAAAGAAUAAGCACCGGCUAACUUCGUG
rnacentral:rRNA from 1 species